AUAUAAUAUAUAUAUAUUAUAUAUUUAUUUUAUUAUAUAUAUAUAUAUAUAUAUAUAUAUAUAUAUAUAUUGAAUAUAAUACAUUUAUACAAUAUUUAUUUCAUUAUAUUUAUCAUUUUUGAGAGAAAAAUAAUUUCAAAUGAAAAUACUUUUUGGUUCCAAAAAUAUUGGAGUUCCCUUCAUCUAGUGACCUCAUUGCACCACCAACGGUUGCGACCUCAUUGCACCACCAACGGUUGCGAGACGUAUGUCAUCAUACCCCUUAUGCCUUGGGCGACACACAUGCUACAAUGGCCUAGACAAAGGGUCGCGAUCACGCGAGGGUGAGCUAACUUCAAAACUCGUCCUUAGUUCGGAUGGCAAGCGACCAGGGCGACACACGUGCUACAAUGGCCUGGACAAAGGGUCGCGAUCUCGCGAGGGUAAGCUAACUUCAAAACCUGUCCUCAGUUUGGAUUGUAGGCAGGAACUCGCCUGCAUGAAGCCGAAAUCGCUAGUAAUCGCCGGUCAGCCAUAUGGCGGUGAAUUCGUUCCCCGGCCUUGUACAUACCACCCGUCACACUAUGGGAGCUGGCCAUGUCCGAAGUCGUUACCUUAACAGUAAGGAGCGAAGGCGGGGCUAGUGACCGGAGUGAAGUCGUAACAAGAUAGCUGUACUGGAAGGUGCGGCUGGAUCACCUCCUUU
rnacentral:ncRNA from 1 species